CUGGCCUCCUUGGUUGCACCCACUGCCUUUCAGGUCAUGAUGUUUAUGCAAGCAGUAAAAUAGUAACUGAGACACCAUUCAAAGUCCGACUGCUGAACGAGCAAGCAGAAUGGAAAUGCAGUUUGUGACCCUCAGAGAUGGCAGAGAAUUGGGAACUAUGUGUGGCUUCUGCAUUAAUCAGAACGGAGAAAAUUUUAAGCUGAGUGUAGUGACUCAUAACUGAAUUCUAAGCAUCUUGGGAGCCUUGAGGUAAGAGAACUGUUGCAGAUGGAGGACUGCUGGAGAUGGAGGACUACUGUAGAUGGAAGACCGCUGCAGAUGGAGGACCACCUGGUACACAUAGUGAGACCAUAUCUCAAACAAAACACAAAACAGUCAAGUAUUCUCAGUGCUUCUGAGAGAAUGCCACUUGGAAUCCUUCCACUUUAUAUUUUCA
rnacentral:lncRNA from 1 species